AACGAACGCUGGCGGCAGGCUUAAUACAUGCAAGUCGAACGAGAAAGCACUUCGGUGUGAGUAGAGUGGCGCACGGGUGAGUAACGCGUGGGAAUGUACUCUAGGGUAAGGGAUAACAGUUAGAAAUGACUGCUAAUACCUUAUAAUGACUCCGGUCUAAAGAUUUAUCGCCCUAGAAUCAGCCCGCGUUAGAUUAGUUUGUUGGUGGGGUAAUGGCCUACCAAGACUACGAUCUAUAGCUGGUCUGAGAGGAUGAUCAGCCACACUGGAACUGAGACACGGUCCAGACUCCUACGGGAGGCAGCAGUAGGGAAUAUUGGACAAUGGGGGAAACCCUGAUCCAGCCAUGCCGCGUGUGUGAUGAAGGCCUUAGGGUUGUAAAACACUUUCAAUGGUGAAGAUAAUGACGGUAACCAUAGAAGAAGCCCCGGCUAACUUCG
rnacentral:rRNA from 1 species